GGGCAGAUACCCGAGUGGCCAAAGGGGCCAGACUGUAAAUCUGGUGGCUCAGCCUUCGCAGGUUCGAAUCCUGCUCUGCCCACCA
rnacentral:tRNA from 1 species